rnacentral:rRNA from 1 species
GGGGGAUAUUGCGCAAUGGGGGCAACCCUGACGCAGCAACGCCGCGUGAAGGAUGAAGGUUUUCGGAUUGUAAACUUCUUUUAUUAAGGACGAAAAAUGACGGUACUUAAUGAAUAAGCUCCGGCUAACUACGUGCCAGCAGUCGCGGUAAUACGUAGGGAGCAAGCGUUGUCCGGAUUUACUGGGUGUAAAGGGUGCGUAGGCGGCUUUGCAAGUCAGAUGUGAAAUCUAUGGGCUCAACCCAUAAACUGCAUUUGAAACUGUAGAGCUUGAGUGAAGUAGAGGCAGGCGGAAUUCCCCGUGUAGCGGUGAAAUGCGUAGAGAUGGGGAGGAACACCAGUGGCGAAGGCGGCCUGCUGGGCUUUAACUGACGCUGAGGCACGAAAGCGUGGGUAGCAAACAGGAUUAGAUACCCUGGUAGUCCACGCUGUAAACGAUGAUUACUAGGUGUGGGGGGUCUGACCCCUUCCGUGCCGGAGUUAACACAAUAAGUAAUCCACCUGGGGAGUACGGCCGCAAGGUUGAAACUCAAAGGAAUUGACGGGGGCCCGCACAAGCAGUGGAGUAUGUGGUUUAAUUCGAAGCAACGCGAAGAACCUUACCAGGUCUUGACAUCCAACUAACGAAGUAGAGAUACAUUAGGUGCCCUUCGGGGAAAGUUGAGACAGGUGGUGCAUGGUUGUCGUCAGCUCGUGUCGUGAGAUGUUGGGUUAAGUCCCGCAACGAGCGCAACCCUUGCUAUUAGUUGCUACGCAAGAGCACUCUAAUAGGACUGCCGUUGACAAAACGGAGGAAGGUGGGGACGACGUCAAAUCAUCAUGCCCCUUAUGACCUGGGCUACACACGUACUACAAUGGAUGUUAACAGAGGGAAGCAAGACAGCGAUGUGGAGCAAACCCCUAAAAACAUUCUCAGUUCAGAUUGCAGGCUGCAACCCGCCUGCAUGAAGAUGGAAUUGCUAGUAAUCGCGGAUCAGCAUGCCGCGGUGAAUACGUUCCCG